UGUUGCCUCAGAAUGAAUUGUGCGGUGGGUCUCAUCCAUAUCUGAUUUAGAUAGGACUCUGAACUUUAAACUUUUGAGUUGGUCCUGAAACAAAUUAAGACUUUUGCAGCUAUUGGGAUGGAAUGAAUGUAUUUUGCAGAGACAAGAAUGAAGAUAAUAGCUAUAGCAUUUAUUGAACAUUAACUAUGUGCCUGUCACCAUGUAACUGAUUCUCCUCAAACCCUCAGAGGCAUGGACCACUGUACUACUGCCAUCCCCAUUUUAUGGAGAAGAUACUGAGGCAAAGGGGAGUUAAGUACCUUGCUAGGCACAGGCAGUUAUUAACGCGGUAGAGCUGGGAUUCCAAACCAUUCUUAGCAGCUAGAAAGAAAGACACUUGUUCUUAACCCAAAGAGGCCUCUUCUAAAAAUGUUUUCUAUAUUGGUGAGACUAAUUAAACUGGAAAAGUUCAUCAACUAAAUGAUGAAACAAGGUAAAGCCUUUUGUUAAUUAUUUUUGAAUAAUUUAUUCCUGGCCUGCCACCGUGGCUCACGCC
rnacentral:lncRNA from 1 species